AUGCUUGGGGCUACUCUUGUUUGCUGGUAGAAUGAUCUGUAGAAAAUUCUGAGAUAAGGUGUUAAAAGUAAGAAAAUGCAGGCAUAAUUAUGAUCAGACUGUCAACUUUCCCCUUGUCUAAUGGGAGCCAAAGAAUGAUGUUUUAAUGCUCAGCUUCUAGAUGAAAUAUGUAUUAGCAAACUAUUCUAGGCCUUUAUAUUCCUUUAUUUUUGUUUUCAAAAAUUCCCAUGACAAUAUUCUGGCAUCCAUGCCACAUGAGGAUACAUUUCGUGCCAAAACAAGCUUAGGAAAUCUGCAGUUUAAAGGAGGAAGGUAUGCUGCAGCUGAGAGCAGACGCUUCUAAGGCAUCUUGGGAAGGUUGCAUCUGCAGUCUCAAGAAAUAUUAAAACCUAUUUUAAUGUAGGCAUUGUUCCUGAGAGUAGCUUCAAUAAGCCACGUGGAUGCAAUUAUCCAGCUCAGGGGUUGUUUCUUAUGGAAUCCAACCUAUGACUGUUGACGCCAGGAGUGGUCCUGGGAAGGAGACUCUGAAAAUUUUGGAGCUGGCUGGGAAUAAGAGUCCUGUUGCUGUUGAUAUCUGAGAGCAACCUUCUGCCAGGAUUUGCCCUGCCCACAGGCGUUAGCAUGGACUUGAUGACUGCGGUGUGGCUUUUACUUUCUCAAUUUUCCAGAGCUCAUACUCCUCAAACUCCAGAGGAAUAAGAUGGCCAGCAGUCAGGAAGGAGAUUUGAAUGUGGAGCACAGCAGAGUGAGCACGAGCUGAAACCCUCCAAGCAUAUUUUCAUCACUGUAUUGCCUGUGAACAUCUUCAGAGUGUGAUGACUCCUACUUCCUCUGAAUCUCAUUUCUUUUUCUCUGGAAAUGUCUACUGAAUACAGAAAUGAACACACUGAAAUAUUUUCAUGCAUUGCCUCAGAGGAAGGGUGACCGAAGGAGAGCUCGAGAAACGGAAAGAGAAUGAGAACAGAGAGAGAUAAAGAAAAGCAUACAAAAUAUUUAUUGCUGCAUUUCCGUGCCUUCUCCACAAUAUUGAGGCCUGAAUUAGGUAGGUAGUUGAAAUCUCUCUAAAAGUGAGUCAGAUAUUGUGUCCGGAAUUGGUGGGUUCUUGAUCGCACUGACUUCAAGAAUGAAGCCGUGGACCCUCGCGGUGAGUGUUACAGCUCUUAAGGUGGCGCGUCUGGAGUCUGCCCCUUCUGAUGUUCAGAUGUGUUCGGAGUUUCUUUCUUCUGGUGGGUUCGUGGUCUCUCUGGCUCAGGAGUGAAGCUGCAGAUCUUCGCGGGGUACUCAGGACUUUGAAUGCAUAGGCUCAGUUCUGCUGUGCACUUUCUACACAAAUCCUGACCAAGCCUGAGAUAGGGGAAGACUCUGUUGUUCAAACCUGUAGCCACUGGAUCACAUCAUGUUCAGACAGAGCUCACUGAAAUCAUAGCACAGGCCCUUCCUUGAGAAAGGGCUACUGAUCUACCUCUCCGAGCAACUGCUUGUAAAGACAAACUGAAUUGAAUGGGCAAGUGAUUUUCAAACCAGUUACGGAUAUUACAUAACAGCUUCUCAUGCACAUGGGAGACAGAGUCUCACUCUGUCACCAGGCUGGAGUAUAGUGGCAUGA